rnacentral:rRNA from 1 species
CCUACGGGUGGCAGCAGUGAGGAAUAUUGGUCAAUGGACGAGAGUCUGAACCAGCCAAGUAGCGUGAAGGAUGACUGCCCUAUGGGUUGUAAACUUCUUUUAUAUGGGAAUAAAACGUUCCACGUGUGGGAUUUUGUAUGUACCAUAUGAAUAAGGAUCGGCUAACUCCGUGCCAGCAGCCGCGGUAAUACGGAGGAUCCGAGCGUUAUCCGGAUUUAUUGGGUUUAAAGGGAGCGUAGGUGGAUUGUUAAGUCAGUUGUGAAAGUUUGCGGCUCAACCGUAAAAUUGCAGUUGAAACUGGCAGUCUUGAGUACAGUAGAGGUGGGCGGAAUUCGUGGUGUAGCGGUGAAAUGCUUAGAUAUCACGAAGAACUCCGAUUGCGAAGGCAGUUCACUGGACUGCAACUGACACUGAGGCUCGAAAGUGUGGGUAUCAAACAGGAGUAGAUAUCCCAGUAGUC